rnacentral:lncRNA from 1 species
CACUAAUACCUGCAUGUCAUCUUUGAAAAAAGAGAAUGAAGUUCGAAAGUAGAAGACAAAAGCAAGAGCAUCACCAUAGCAGAAGCACAUCACUGAAGAAACUCUCAUGCCUAUUAGAGAAAGUCAACUAGAGAAGCAUAUGGGGCAUGAGUAAAGAAGGGAAUAAAACAAACGCAAAACCAGAUGAUGGCAACGAAAAGAAGAAGACAGGAGGAUGAAGAAAAUAGAAAAGGUAAAGAGG